CGUGUACUGGUGUGGUCCCUCAGCCUGGCCUGUGCCCUCUCGCAAUCUGGACCCCUUGGGGGAUGUCUGAGAGCUGGUUUCGGCCUGAUCCCGCAGGCCAGGCUGAGGGACCCCACUGGUGCACA
rfam:Myotis lucifugus cont2.25435, whole genome shotgun sequence.